rnacentral:rRNA from 1 species
AACGAGGUCUUCGGAACCUAGUGGCGGACGGGUGAGUAACACGUGAGAAUCUGGCUUCAGGACGGGGACAACAAGGGGAAACCCUUGCUAAUACCGGAUAGGCCGAAAGGUGAAAGAUUUAUCGCCUGAAGAUGAGCUCGCGACUGAUAAGGCUAAGGUGGGAGGGGUAAGAGUCCACCCAUGCAACGAUUCAGUAGCUGUCUGAGAUGAUGAUCAGCACACUGGACUGAGAAACGACAGAACUCUACGGGAGGCAGCAGUGGGGGAAUUUUCGCAAUUGGGCGCAAGCCUGACGAGGCAAUACGCGUGCGGGAGGAAGGCCUGGGUCGUAAACCGCCUUUGUUAGGGAAGAAAAAUUGACGGUACCUAACGAAUAAGCCUCGGCUAACUCCGUGCCAGCAGCCGCGGUAAGACGGAGGAGGCAAGCGUUAUCCGGAAUUAUUGGGCGUAAAGCGUCCGCAGGUGGCAUCUCAAGUCUGCUGUCAAAGCCCAGGGCUCAACUCUGGAUCGGCAGUGGAAACUGAGACGCUAGAGUACGGUAGGGGCAGAGGGAAUUCCCAGUGUAGCGGUGAAAUGCGUAGAUAUUGGGAAGAACACCAGUAGCGAAAGCGCUCUGCUGGGCCGUAACUGACACUCAUGGACGAAAGCUAGGGGAGCGAAAGGGAUUAGAUACCCCUGUAGUCCUAGCCGUAAACGAUGGACACUAGGUGUUGCGCGUAUCGACCCGUGCAGUGCCGUAGCCAACGCGUUAGGUGUCCCGCCUGGGGAGUACGCUCGCAAGAGUG